AUGGUUCUUGCGCUUUUUGUGUCUCACCAAAAUCAAGACUCAGGUCAUGUGCAUGUUUAUCAAGCAAACACCUUUUUUUUUUUUUUUCCAGAAAAUAAAAACGCCCUGGAAGACAAGUGUAAUGCAUUGAGGUCUGUGAAAGCCACAAAGGAAGCAAAAGUCAAACAGCUGAAGGAGAAAGCACAUAACCUAGAAGAAUUCUAUGAACGAAGAAAAGUGCCUACAAAAAAGGCAGUCUGGAUCCUGGGGACCUCCUCCGUUAACUGGAUGAUUCUGCAUGCCCCACCCCCAUGGACUAUUAGGCACGUCCACCUCCUGAACCUUGGUGGCCCUGGGGCCACCCGGAACCCCUCCACCUGCAACACUUGAAUUUCAGCUCAUUUUUCCAGAGGACACAAUUACCCUGCAAAGUGUACUGCACUUAAGCUGAGAAGUACCUCCGAAGUAAAAUAACUUAGCUGAACCCAACUAACAGGUAUAGGUUACCUGUUUCUCUAAGAGCACACUUUCCCAGGUCCUCUGCAGGUCCUCAGGAUCCCCAUCUCCCCAUGUGUCUCUGUGCCCAUGGAUAGCACUUCCAGAGAGGAGGAGACCCCAUUGUCGGGACAGAAGUAGAUUGGGCACAGGCAAGGGCUUAGAGGCAGAGCUUUGAGCCAUGAGGGCUAUGAUUCCAUGUGUGGACUACUGGGAUUUUCAUUCCUUCUCAUUCUGUAGUUCUUCACAACACAAUAAACAGCCUCUGUGGUGGAGGGGAUGAAGGGUG
rnacentral:lncRNA from 1 species